UUGUUUUAUCACCGGAAAUGAUUUUUGAAAUUUGAAUUUCGAAACGAAGACAGGAUAUCAACAAAGAGAGCCAAGAAAAUUGUUUGUUACGCGAUAUAUACUCACUUGGAGCUAAAAGAAAAGCCACAAAGGACAAGUUCAAUAUGCAGGUUUACAAUUUGGAAGUGGCGCAGGUUCUUUGGAAUGUCUACAACCUUUCAGGAGAAUUUUUUUUUGAAAAGCAUGGCACAGCAAGAAAAAGAUAUAAGACACUACAAGACAUUCCAAGUGAUUUUGAAUAAGACAAUUGAUUGACUUUUUCAAUGUAUUCUUAAAUAAAUCAAAUAGUUGAUGUAAAA